GAGGUCCAGUCUCGCUGCUGGUGAGCAGCCAACCCAGGAACGCUGGCUUUCGUGCCUCUGGCCUGGAAUCACAUGUAACCAAAGCCAUAUGUUCAACUUGGAUUAAUUAAACCGAGGCCUCAGAACAUUUCUGCUGCUGCUUCUGAUGCUUUUGCAUUAUACUAUUUUAACAUUU